GGUUAAGCGACUAAGCGUACACGGUGGAUGCCCUGGCAGUCAGAGGCGAUGAAGGACGUGCUAAUCUGCGAUAAGCGCCGGUAAGGUGAUAUGAACCGUUAUAACCGGCGAUUUCCGAAUGGGGAAACCCAGUGUGAUUCGUCACACUAUCAUUAACUGAAUCCAUAGGUUAAUGAGGCGAACCGG
rnacentral:rRNA from 1 species